GAUUAUAGCCAAAGAAGACCACGGUGAAAGCCGUAAACCAAGCAAAACAAUCAAAUAAAGACUUAUUACCCGAAACUGAAGGUUUAACAACGGCAUUGGAGUUCAAAGGGCAUAAUUUUUUCAAUAACAGCAAAAGAAAAAUUGACAAACGACAAGAAAAGGAACGAUGACAGAAGCGAAACUGAAAAGGAUAUUAUUUUUCAUUCAAUGACUGCUGAAAGCAUGCAAAGGAAAUCAAACAUUGCUUCAAAAAAAUGAACACAAUUUUUCCAUCCUCAUUAAGUAUCCGGCAGGUUGGGUCAUCAGACCUGUUGAAAAAGAACAUAGUUUCUGUAAUGAAGCCCAUAAGAACUAUACAUCCUAAACUAUUCGUUUCGCAGGUAUGUUUUCCAUGUCAAUAAGAAAUUUCUGAAGUUCUUGGAGGAACCUGAAAGAUCAAAGGUCUAUGGUCCUAAGGAAGAGGGGAUUAUUAGCGUUUUUUGAAGAGUCUGCCUGAACAGUUGGUGUUGAUAAUCGUUUCAAAAAAACUCAAACCUUUCCGAGAGAACGCUUAAAAUAGCCACAAAGAACAUUUUCGUGAUCAAGUACCCAUUUGAGUAACCUUUUAUUGUGAGAUUUUUGCUAAACAAUUUACAAACCCGCGACAUGUGUUUCACUAUACCAUGGCUCAUUCGGAUGUAUUCAGUAUUCUUUACUGAACACAUCUUCUUCCAUGUACGACGUGAAAAAUAGGAAGAAAGUAAUAAAGCAGUGGCGAAGAUGGUAUUGGCACAAAGUAAAAGUGAUUUUUGGGUCUCCAUUCCAUUUCUCAACCCCUCACAAGAUCGUCAUAUUAGACAAUAGAAGUCUGAACUAAUGAAAUGUAAUAAAAGCAUAUUCCAAUCUCUGGUAGUGAAUUCCAACAAAACACUACAUUACUGUACAUAACCCUCAGUUUUUUAUGCUAUUCUAAUAUAAUCGAUGGAAUUUGGUGGUACACAUCAAACCUAAAAGUACAAGAUAUAUGUAAUGUGAUAUGUAUCACGUAUUACCAAAGGUUAUGUUAACAAAGACGACCGUUAGAAUUCAAAGUUAGGUUAUUGGUUUAAUUGACGGAAAUAGUGUUUGCAUACUUACUUACGCAUACUUACGUAUGCGAGUCAACUGGGGCAAACAAGGUCAUUCAAAUUUUUUCAAAACUUUGUAAAUUAUUAAUUGAAAUUGUGUAAAAUAUGUAAGGAUUUUCUUCAGAAAUUUAACGUCAUGCAGUUACUGUAUUCCAAUUAUGUUCAACGAAGCUAGAAUUCAAUAGAAAGCUCACAAAUAUUUAGGAAUCGAACAAGAGACAAUGAAGGAAAUUUAUAACUAACUGAAAAAAUAUAUCAAACGAUACCCUACAACAUAGUUCAUCUGAAUAAAAUGCAUCUAAAGAGUAGUAUCAGUUUUUGACACCCAGUACAUUCUAUGGCGCCAAAUAUAUUACCAAUAAUUUUGAAACGUUUUUAAAGAUACGGUUAUAUUCAUGAACACUGAUCAAACUUUUUGUUCAAAUCUUUCAAACAGCCUUUACUUCAGAAGUAUAAAACAUUAUGUAAUUCAAUACUUUAUCAGUAAAAGGAUUCAAGCAAUUAUAAAAUAGUUUCAAAGAUAUGAAAAAGAAUAUUAGUAUGAGUAAUUACCUAUCACAGUAGCAUUGGAGAAUUCCAUACGGAAGCAUUUCACCAUGCAUUUUGUUUUUUCUUGGCAUAAUAUAAAUUUCAUGAAUGACCAAAAUUGACAUAUUUGAAGAUAAGUGAAGGAAAAUAUUGGUGCUGAUUUCACGCUGAAUUCAUUUUAUAAACAUAAAAUAUUCAAGAUUCUCAAUGAGAUUUCAAUAAUAAAUAAAUAUUCUGCAUGAAAUGUGAGGAAGAUUCUUGCAUAUCCAUUGCCGGAUACUCCAUUUAGACAUCAAAAACAAAUAUGAUAUCGCCGAACAUUUCGAAUCCAUAUAGCAAGGUCCAAUAUUUGCAAACUCAAUUGUGUACUCCAUCGUUCACGAUCAAGAAUAUUUAUAACUUGUUUACCAACUAUAUGUCUAAUAUUAUAUUUUUUUCAAUAGAUAAGGGAACCAAAUUUGAUUCCGAUAAUCAACAGCGCUACUCGAAAUCGAUUUUUGAAUAAUCUAGGUUAGUGUAAGUAAAUGUGAGUAGAUGAAUAAACAAAAUGUGCUAAUGGACAUUUUCGUGGAUUAUAUGAAGAAACUGAUAUCAACGAUGGGCUUGAAUUAUACUAAACACUGCCGUUUUCUCUAAAUGUUCGACGUUUCAUCGUGUAAAAACAAUCAUCGUUCAGAAGAAGUACUUAUAAUCUUAUUGGGAACAUCAUUCAACAUGGAAAUUUGGAAACGUAAGUUCAAUAUAAUCAUAUCAAAAAGGAUCUGAAUGUUAUUUUAGCUCAUAACUUGUACUUCAAUCAAUUGUUUUAAUACCAAUGAUAUUGGUUAAAUUCUACACCUACCAGAUUUCCAUGCUGUGUCCAUGCUGCAACCCAAAUCAUCUUUUCAUUUGGUUGUGUGUAAUCAUGAAAACUGUAAAACGAUUUGCAAUAAUCAUUCUCAUUGAAAGUGUUCAUUCAUAAGAAUAAAAAGAAUUUAGGAAUUAAA